AAGAGUGUACAUACUCCUGCCUGCGCUGCGAAGCACCGUAUCAUUUUCUCAUUUCUCCCGAAGCUGCAACAAUGGCUUGGCGCGGUUCUCUUUCCCGAUCGCUCAUGUCCACCGCUAGGGCUUCCGCUUCCCGUUCAUCGCCGCCCUGCGUCCUGCUCCCGUUUCUUCCUCUCGCCUCAACUCACCGCGCCUCUCCUUUUCCAAUCCCAGGUACCUGAAUAUAUUUGUACCAGAAGAGCCAAUGCUCAAAUCUCGGACUUGGUUAAUAGGUGGUUCUGCGGGAAUUCUCUUUGGGGAAUAUUAAAAUUAAAUUAACAAUAUGCUUCUUCAUGUUUACUCUAGACUAUUUCAGGUGGAGUCUAAAUUUAAGACGAUUUUUGAGGUAGCUGAAUACUUGUGUUCAUAAUAGUGGUGCUGCUGGGCCGGAAACUGCCGGUUUUGGUUCCACAUAACUGGUCAUACAAGGGUUUCGGAGGUUCUUGUUUUGAACCGAAACAUGCAACUCUAGUUAGGUUUUUUUUCUUUUUUAAGUGGUUGUCCUGUUGCAGACUAUUUUUGCUUUUCUUAAAGGAGAUCGAUAAUGAUUCCUAUUUACUUAAUGACCGUUGUGAUCCAAACAUUUGACCUAUUAAUUAGAGGGGAGACAUCUUACUUACUAAGAUGUACUUCAUCGUCAUUAUCCAA